rnacentral:lncRNA from 1 species
CAACUUCCGAGGCGCCCUCAUUGCCAGCCGGACCCCAGCCUCCGACAGGUUCGGGCGCCCUGCUUGCCCCGUGCUUCGCCGGCCCCCGCCCAGCGCCCGGCCCCUCCGGCUCCACUCCGCUCGCUCGGUCGGUCGCUCCGACGCCAUGGACACGUUUUGGUGGCGCGCAGCUUGGGGACUCUGCCUCGUGCAGCUGAGCCUGGCGCAGAUCGAUCUGAAUAUAACCUGCCGAUAUGCAGGCGUAUUCCACGUGGAGAAGAAUGGUCGCUACAGCAUCUCCAAGACUGAGGCUGCCGACCUCUGCAAGGCCUUCAAUAGCACGCUGCCCACCAUGGCCCAGAUGGAGGUGGCCCGGAGCAUAGGGUUUGAGACCUGCAGGUACGGGUUCAUAGACGGGCAUGUGGUGAUUCCCCGGAUCCACCCCAAUUCCAUCUGUGCUGCGAACAACACAGGGGUUUACAUCCUCACAUCCAACACCUCCCAGUAUGACACGUACUGCUUCAAUGCCUCAGCUCCACUUGGAGAAGACUGUACCUCAGUCACGGACCUGCCCAAUGCCUUUGAAGGACCCAUUACCAUAACUAUUGUAAACCGCGAUGGCACCCGUUAUACCAAGAAAGGCGAAUACAGAACGAACCCCGAAGACAUCAACCCCAGCAUCGUGAGCCCCAGCAGCCCUCCUGAUGAUGAGAUGAGCAGUGGCUCCCCCAGCGAGAGAAGCACGUCAGGAGGCUACAGCAUCUUCCACACGCACCUCCCAACUGCGUACCCACCCCCAGACCAAGACAGCCCCUGGGUCUCCAGCAAACCAGAGAAUACCUCGGAUACCACUCAGAUACUAAAGCAAGUCACCGCAACAGGUACGGAUUCAAGUAUCAUCUCAGCAGGCUGGGAGCCAACUGAAGAAAAUGAAGAUGAAAGAGACAGACACCCCAGUUAUUCUGGAUCAGGCAUUGAUGAUGAUGAAGAUUUUAUCUCCAGCACCACCCAGGCACCCACUACUAGUACAGCAGAAGAAACAGCUACCCAGAAAGAGCAGUGGUUUGAGAAUGGAAGGCCUGGGGAAUAUCCCCAAACACCAAAAGAAGACUCUCAUUCAACAGCAGGGACAACUGUCACAGCAGCCUCAACGCAUGUCAGCCAUCCCCGUCAAAGAGUGACAACGCAGAGCCAAGAGGACAGUUCCUCGACUUACUUCUUCGACCCAGUCUCGCAUCCAAUGGGGCGAGGUCAUCGAACAAAAGGAAGGAUGGAUACAGACACCAGCCCUAGUACAACGCUUCAGCCUUCUGCAGAUCCAAACACGAGUUCGGUGGGAGACUUGGACAGGACAGGACCUCUCUCAAUGACAACUCAGCAGAGUGAUACUCACAGCUUCUCUCCAUCGCAUGGCGGCUUAGAAGAAGACAAAGGCCACUCAACGACUGCUACUCCAACAUCUAUCAAUAGGAACGAUGGAAGAAGAGGUGGAAAUCUUCCUGAAGAUGCAACUACUUCAGUGGAAGGUUACACUCAUUCUCCAGAUACAAAUGAAUACACAACCCUCACCCCAAUGACCCCCACUAAGACUGGGUCCCCUGGAGUUACUGAAGUUACUGUUGUUGGAGAUUCCACCUCUAAGGCUGAUCUUACUUUACCAGGAGACUAUGGCUCGUCCCACGACCCCAGUGGAAGGUCCUAUACAACUCAUGCAUCUGAAUCAGCUGGACACUCAAGUGGGAGUGAAGACCAUGGGGCAAACACAACCUCAGGUCCUAUACGGAAACCUCAAAUUCCGGAAUGGCUGAUCAUCUUGGCAUCUCUCCUGGCCUUGGCUUUGAUUCUCGCGGUUUGCAUUGCUGUCAACAGUAGGAGAAGGUGUGGGCAGAAGAAAAAACUGGUGAUCAACAAUGGGAAUGGAACCAUGGAGGAGAGAAAGCCUAGCGGACUCAACGGAGAAGCUAGCAAGUCUCAGGAGAUGGUGCAUUUGGUGAACAAGGGGUCGUCAGAGACCCCAGACCAGUUUGUGACGGCAGAUGAGACACGGAACCUGCAGAAUGUGGAUAUGAAGAUUGGGGUGUAACACCUACUCUGUGACCUUGGAAAUAAACCACCAUUGGAGACACAACCAUUACAGGGAGCUGGGACACUUCACAGAUGCAGUGUGCUACUGAUUGUUUCAUUG